AUGAAGUUGUCAAAGGAGGAAGGUGGGCUAGGAUUUCGGGACCUGCACUCCUUCAACAUGGCCAUGUUGGCUCGGCAAGGAUGGCGAUUACUCCAGGCACCAGACUCACUUUGUGCGCGAGUGUUGCGAGCCAAGUACUACCCAAGUGGGAGUUUGCUAGAUGCUGAACCAGUAACGGGAAUGAGUUAUGUGUGGCGGAGUGUUCUCAAAGGUCUGGAAGUA
rnacentral:rRNA from 1 species